UUAUCCUUGAGCCUAAGUAGGGAAAGGGAAAGAGAGGGAGAAACAAGGGCAGCGGGAGAGGGGUGUGAGCUGUGUGGUGUGUGAGGAGGAGAGGGGUGUGAGCUGUGUGGUGUGUGAGGAGAGGGGUGUGAACUGUGUGGUGUGUGAGGAGAGGGGUGUGAGCUGUGUGGUGUGUGAGGAGAGGGGUGUGAGCUGUGUGGUGUGUGAGGAGGAGAGGGGUGUGAGCUGUCUGGUGUGUGAGGAGGAGAGGGGUGUGGGCUGUGUGGUGUGUGAGGAGGAGGGGUGUGAGCUGUCUGGUGUGUGAGGAGAGGGGUGUGGGCUGUGUGGUGUGUGAGGAGAGGGGUGUGAGCUGUGUGGUGUGUGAGCAGGAGAGGGGUGGGGUCUGUGUGGUGUGUGAGCAGGAGAGGUGCAUGAGCUGUAUGGUGUGUGUGGC
rnacentral:lncRNA from 1 species